rnacentral:rRNA from 1 species
AGUGAACGCUGGCGGUAGGCCUAACACAUGCAAGUCGAACGGCAGCACAGUAAGAGCUUGCUCUUACGGGUGGCGAGUGGCGGACGGGUGAGGAAUACAUCGGAAUCUACUUUUUCGUGGGGGAUAACGUAGGGAAACUUACGCUAAUACCGCAUACGACCUACGGGUGAAAGCAGGGGAGCUUCGGACCUUGCGCGAUUGAAUGAGCCGAUGUCGGAUUAGCUAGUUGGCGGGGUAAAGGCCCACCAAGGCGACGAUCCGUAGCUGGUCUGAGAGGAUGAUCAGCCACACUGGAACUGAGACACGGUCCAGACUCCUACGGGAGGCAGCAGUGGGGAAUAUUGGACAGUGGGCGCAAGCCUGAUCCAGCCAUACCGCGUGGGUGAAGAAGGCCUUCGGGUUGUAAAGCCCUUUUGUUGGGAAAGAAAAGCAGCAGGUUAAUACCCCGCUGUUCUGACGGUACCCAAAGAAUAAGCACCGGCUAACUUCGUG